rnacentral:rRNA from 1 species
GACGAACCGUGCGAACGUUGUUCGGAAUCACUGGGCUUAAAGGGCGCGUAGGCGGGCAGCCAGGUCAGAGGUGAAAUCCCACAGCUCAACUGUGGAACUGCCUUUGAAACCGGUUGCCUCGAGUGAGGUAGGGGCAUGUGGAACUUCCGGUGGAGCGGUGAAAUGCGUAGAGAUCGGAAGGAACGCCGGUGGCGAAAGCGACGUGCUGGACCUCUUCUGACGCUGAGGCGCGAAAGCCAGGGUAGCGAACGGG